CAUGUGCAUAAAGAACCACAAAACCAGGCUGACUUUUAUAGAAUCAUCAAGUGCUUAGGCCAGGAAACUUACAGAAGGGAAGGAGUAGUUCUAAAUGCUGGGAUCUGGAAAAGUACUUUGGAAUUGGUGCCGUCUGAGGUGAAGCUGGAAGGAAGCAAAUCAUUGGGACAAGUGGAAAAUCCACUGGAAUACAUACAUAUAUAUACAGUAAACAGAACAAGCUCCUCUUCAAAAAGCAGUCCCUCAGUGAGCUCAUCUGCUCUCAGGGAUUCAUCCAUUGCUGCUGUGAGGAUGCUUCAAAGUUUAACUGCAGGAACAAUCAGUUGCCAGCCAUCUACUACCUGAUGAAACGGAGCAAAAGGGGAUACAGGGUGAUUGCUCUUAUGUGUGUCUUCAGAACACUAAGUUCAAAGAUAAAAAUUUCAUCUUUCCGGCCAACGAGAUGGGCUGAAUAUCCCAAAGCCUCAUUCUGUCAGUAGAGUCAAGAUUUAAAUGGAGGCCCUCAUCUUGAAAAAUGCACCAACUUCCAGAAACCACAAUACAGGCUCUUGCCCAUGCCCUCUGCUCUCUGCUUCUGCUUCUGACUGACCUUGGUGCUUCCCUGGGCUGUCCUGUGUGGCCCUAACCUUGGAAACUUUGAUGCCUGCUCCCCUUCCCCUUCCACCGUGUUUGAAAG